rnacentral:rRNA from 1 species
GAUGUCGAUUAGGUGUUGGGCAGCAUGACUGCUUAGUAGCGAAGAUAACGCGUGAAAUCGACCGCCUGGGGAGUACGGUCGCAAGAUUAAAACUCAAAGGAAUUGACGGGGACCCGCACAAGCGGUGGAUGAUGUGGAUUAAUUCGAUGCAACGCGAAGAACCUUACCUGGUCUUGACAUGUACGGAAUCCUCCAGAGACGGAGGAGUGCCUUCGGGAGCCGUAACACAGGUGCUGCAUGGCUGUCGUCAGCUCGUGUCUUGAGAUGUUGGGUUAAGUCCCGCAACGAGCGCAACCCUUGUCAUUAGUUGCCAUCAUUAAGUUGGGCACUCUAAUGAGACCGCCGGUGACAAGCCGGAGGAAGGUGGGGAUGACGUCAAGUCCUCAUGGCCCUUAUGACCAGGGCUUCACACGUCAUACAAUGGUCGGUACAGAGGGUAGCCAAGCCGCGAGGCGGAGCCAAUCUCACAAAACCGAUCGUAGUCCGGAUUGCACU